CUGAUUUGUCUAUCCUUUGAGUUUUUGAGUGUUUAUGCUAUGCUACUAAACCACAUUACACUGAAAAGUUCUCGUCUAAGGUUAUUCCUACUGUUUUUAUAGGCUAUUAGGGUGUUCAAAAGGGUACAUCUUAUUCAACCUUGAGUCCAAAACAUUCUUUAUUAAAUGAGAUGUUUUUCAUGAGACAGUGUUUCCUUUUAUAUUUCUUGCAACCUCUUCUCCCUUAUUUCCUAUUCAUG
rnacentral:lncRNA from 1 species